CUACCCGCCAGAGAACAAACCCCCUUUGACUGUAAUUUUCCUUUACCUACCCAAAUCCUAUAAAACGGCCCCACGUCCAAAUGCCUGAACGGCAGCGGCCAGGCGUUCCUCCAGAACCUCCUCCCACAGGAGCUUGCUACAUGUGCCGGGAAUCUGGCCACUGGGCCAAGGAAUGCCCGCAGCCUGGGAUUCCUCCUAAGCCGUGUCCUAUCUGUGUGGGACCCCACUGAAAAUCGGACUGUUCUACUCACCUGGCAGCCACUCCCAGAGCCCCUGGAACUCUGGCCCAAGGCUCUCUGACUGACUCCUUCCCAGAUCUUCUCGGCUUAGCGGCUGAAGACUGACACCGGCCGAUCGCCUCGGAAGCCCCCUAGACCAUCACGGAUGCCGAGCUUCGGGUAACUCUAACAGUGGAAGGUAAGCCCGUCCCCUUCUUAAUCAAUACGGAGGCUACUCACUCCACAUUACCCUCUUUUCAAGGCGUGUUUCCCUUGCCUCCAUAACUGUUGUGGGUAUUGACGGCCAGGCUUCUAAACCUCUUAAAACUCCCCCCCCCACUCCUACCCGCCAGAGAACAAACCCCCUUUGACUGUAAUUUUCCUUUACUGACCCAAAUCCUAUAAAACGGCCCCACCCUUAUCUCUCUUCGCUGACUCUCUUUUCGGACUCAGCCCACCUGUACCCAGGUGAAAUAAACAGCUUUAUUGCUCACACAAAGCCUGUUUGGUGGUCUCUUCACACGGACGUGCAUGAAAGUUACCAAAUAAUAUUAUUUAAUAGUUGUCGAUUUAUACAGCAUACCAUUAAUGUUAAAACCGCUGUUGCAAGAGCAUUUAGACUCUUUCUUCAUAUGCUAUGUGGCAGGAAUUCUUGACCUCUAUUUUCCAUAAAUAUUGUAUAUAUACCUAGACUAAAAUGUCCGGUGUUUUCCACUGACAGCACUGAAUGGCAUCCUGCUAUCUUCAGGCAUCUCAAAUUGAAGUCACUACAGUUGGCUGGUACAUCAAGGGGCCAGCAGGGACCACAGCACCAAAUCUUCUCUCACCAUUAUCCCAGAUAAAAAGAGUGUGCUGCCUGUAGCUGCUAGCACCCUUUCUUUGAUAAGGGAGCACCCCAUAAGCUGUCCUGGAAAGGAAGGUGUUAGUUAAGUUGUGUUGCAGGUUGGAUUCUCCGGAGGCAGAUGCCUAGAAGUUUAGGGCCCGAGGUUUAUUUGGCACCAACACCUGUGGAAGAGAGAAGAAGCAGGAUUGGGCAGUGAAAGAUGUCCAGCAGUGAUAUGGGCAUGACAAAGUCUUGGCCAGAGGCUGUCUCUGUACCACCCACAGUGGGGUAUGUGCAGUGCAGUGACAUGAUGAUAGCUCACUGCAGCCUCAACCUCCCAGGCUCAGGCAAUCCUCCUGCCUCAGCCUCCUCAAGUCCUCCUUUGAAGAGGUAGCUGGACAUCACAUCGUUGUCUACCACGUAGUGUGUCUAGAUAAGGCUGGGAAAAGUGAGGUGGGUUAUCCCUGGGCAUCCUCUGGUUUAACAAGAGUAGGAACUCAGUUGACUGCUCUUGUUUCGUAUACCAUUAGACAAGUCCACAGCAGAAAGUGAAAGCACUGCCAGGUACAGUGACUCAUGCCUGUAUUCCUAGUGUUUAGGGAGACUGAGGCAGGAGGAUCGCUUGAGGCCAGGUGUUUGAGACCAGCCUGGGCAACAUAGCAAGACCCUGUCUCUACAAAAAUUUAAAAAAUUAGCCAGGUGUGGUGGUACACACCUGUAGUGCCAUCUACUCAGCAGGUUGAGGGAGGAGGAUCACUUAACCCGGGAGGCCGAGGCUGCAGUGAGCUAUGAUCACACCAAUGCACUUCAGCCUGGGCAACAGAUUGAGAGCCUGUCUCAAAAAAAAAAAAAAAAAAAAAAGUGAAGGCACCAAGUGGCAAUUGUCAGAGGCUGUGGCCUACUCAGGAAGCAGACUUGGAGAUGGAGAGUGGUGGACAGGAGGUUUGCUAGGGAGUGGUCUUGGGAUCACCACCUCUGGAAGGGGAAAGGAAGAAGGAUGGGGCAGGAAGAGAAGUUGGCUGAUGCAUUAGUCAGGGUUCACUAGAGGGAAAGAACUAAUAGGAUAGAUGUAUAUAUGAAGGGGAGUUUAUUAGGAAGAAUCAACUCACAAGAUCACAAGGUGAAGUCCCACAAUAGGCUGUCUGCAAGCUAAGGAGCAAGGAAGCCAGUCUGAGUUCCAAAACCUCAAAAGUAGGGAAGCCGACAAUGUGGCCUUCAGUCUGUGGCCGUAAGCUCGAGAGCCCCUGGCAAACCACUGGUCUAAGUCCAAGAGUCCAAAAGCUGAAGAGCUUGGAGUCUGAUGUUCAAGAGCAGGAAGGAUUCAGCAAGAGAGAAAGAUGGAAGGCCAGAAGACUCAGUAAGUCUGCUCUUUCUACCUUUUUCAGCCUGCUUUAUUCUAGCAGCUGAUUAGAUGGUGCCCACCCAGACUGCAGGUGGGUCUGCCUCUCCCAGUCCACUGACUCAAAUGUUAAUCUCCUUUGACAACACCCUCCCAGACACACCCAGGAACAAUACCUUGCAUCUUUCAAUUCAAUCAAGUUGACACUCAAUCUUAACCAUCACAGCCUAUGAUUCAGCCUCAACAGAGAGCAACCACAUGGCCAGCUCUAGACAAAGUGGGGGCCAGACCUUUAUAUCUCCUUAUAAACCAGUUCUUGGCUGUGGGCACCCUGGGAAGAGGGCAUGGUGGUGGGUGAGAUGACACUCUUCAUUUGAAGCAAUUCCGAUGAGGGCUGACAGCUGGGGAUCUCUGCCAGAAGCCCUCGCUGCAGCUGGUGGAGUAGCCCUUCAGUCUUGAGGAGACUCUGGGAUGACAUCACAGCAUCUGCUCCAGAAGUCUGCUGAACCCAUCCUGGCUAACUGUAAUGCAACUAUUAACCAUAAUACUUUCCUUUAAAAAUCUCAGACAAAUGCUGAAAGAGAUAAGAUACUGAGACAGGAAGUGUAAGCUGGGACUGUCCUAAGCGAAUCAGGAAAAAGUUAUCCUGUCUAUAAUGAAGUUCAGGGAGAAAGAACAGCUUACAUUAACAGCCUUGAAGGUAAGUUGCUGGUCCAGAAACCUUUUGAGUUAAUUUACUUGGUUUCACUUGGGUUUCACCCAGAUGCAAAAGGAUUUAAGUCGAUUAUUUAAUCCAUUAUUUUCUGUGGUGUAGCAUGGCAGUGCUUUUGCAUGUUGCAGCGUUUUCUUUCAUUUUCAGCAGCCCCUCCUCUCCAUUUAAUCACUGUGUCUGCUGCCCUGUCCUAAUCGCUCAGCAGACACCCCCCUGGCAUCCCAGACACUCUGGCUGCGUGUCCCGUGCAUGAUUAUUUGGCCCUCACCCUGUACUCCACUUCACACUCCCUUAGGCUAUGAGCAGAGGAUUUUUGUCACAAUUGUAAAACAUAGAAACUCAUCUCCACCAAUCCUUUCAAAGAGCCCAGGGAGUCUGAGCUGUUCCAAAUGAGAAGCUUCUGCUACAAGAGCAUGGCCAGAGACUCUGGCUACCAGAGGGAGGCUGGUGCAUUUCAUUUCAUUGUGAACUCCAACCAGGGUGUCUCGAAGGUUAAAAUACCUUUACUUAGCGCUCAAUCACUGUCGCACCUGGUACACAGUGCUGUAAAAUUAGGAGGGAAGAAGAGAGCAGGAGAAGCCCUGGAUUCAACAUCAGGAGACCUGGGGUCCAGCCCUUCCCAGCCUCUGGCACUCAGGUUCUCCAUGGAUCAGGUCUUAUUCAGGUUAUCAUUCCCACCGCCUAGGAAAGUGUCUGGUUGAGUGGGUGCUAAGAAAAAAUGUUUUCCUUUCUCCCUGGACAUAGCUUGCAUAAGGAAUGAAGACAAUGAGUGUGUGUAGGGGGAAAACGCUAAGGAGCUAGAAAAGUUUUUCAUUCCAUGGUGCAGUGUUCCUUUCUCUAGCCCCACCACCGAAAGCACAAGACCCUUUCCCUGACUUUAUAUCUUACCACACAGUUCAGCAACCCAGUGAAAAGAUCCUUAUUAAAAUUUUAUUUAUUAAUUUUUUUUAAGAAUAGAGACAGGAUCUCACUAUAUUGCCCAGGUUGGUCUUAAACUCUUAGCCUCAAGUGAUCGUCCCACCUCGGCUUCCCAAAGUGCUGGGAUUACAGGUGUGAGGCCACUGAGCCUGGCCAAGUGAAAAGAUCUUAACGCUCCCAACAUCACAUAACUCUCCUGGGAGAUGGUGGUGGGAGGAUUUUAUAUGGACUUGUUUGGAUAUGUGUUCACCCUUGGACCAAACCUUAUGUCCAGGAUUGCAGAGUACUGUGAUUAGGCAGACCUAAAUACUGUACUGUUUUUUUUUUUUUUUUUUUUUUUUGAGACGGAGUCUCGCUCUCUCUCCCAGUCUGGAGUGCAGUGGUGCGAUCUCGGCUCACUGCAAGCUCUGCCUCCCGGGUUCACGCCAUUCUCCUGCCUCAGCCUCCCGAGUAGCUGGGACUACAGGCACCGGCCACCACGCCCAGCUAAUUUUUUGUAUUUUUAGUAGAGACCAGGUUUCACCGUGUUAGCCAGGAUGGUCUCGGUCUCCCGACCUCGUGAUCCACCUGCCUCCGCCUCCCAAAGUGCUGGGAUUACAGGCAUGAGCCACCGCGCCCGGCUGAUACUGCAGUUUUUUUUGUUGUUGUUUUGUUUUUUCUUUACUAUUCUCUACUUCUUGCUAUAUUCUGUUGAAUACAUGUCGAAUUUUUUCUUCUAUUCUUCCCCUUCCUUAAUCCCCCUUGCCUAUUUCAUAUUUCUUUGUAUUGGAUUGUACUGCAUUUUGUGUUACUUCCUCAAAUAUAUCUUGUAGUUUACUAAUUCUCUCUAGAGCUGGUUUUCAUUUGCUACUUAACCUACUCAUUGAGUUUUUACAUUUUAAUAAAGUUUUAAUGUUAAUUACCUACAGUCACGUGUUUUGUUUUUAUUUUUGACUUGCCUCUCCUUUAUUCAUAGCCCAGCUCUUUCAUUUUAGUUUCCGUACUUAUUUUAUAAUCUCUUUCGAUUGUUUUAUCAGCUACUUUGGAAAUCAGUGUUGCGCCUCCUGAUUGAUGUGUCUGCUGAUUUUCCUUCAGAGGCCAGGCUAACAGGGACUGCUGAUGGGGAAAUAAAGAAAUAAUCAAGGAUGAAUCCUAUAUCUGGGGCUUGAGCAAGUGAGUAGAUGCUUGUAAGAGAGAUACGUUCAAGUCCUGACACUGGUACCUGUGAAUGUGAUCUUAUCUGGAAAGAGAGACUUUUUGGCCUAUGAGAUGUGGGGGCCCCAAAUCCAAUGACUGAAGUCAAUGGAAGAAGAUGAGAGGAUGCACAGAGAGACACACAAAGAGAAGAGCACCAUGUGUAGAUGGAGGCACAGGUUGGAGCGAUGCAGCUACAAGCCAAGGAACACCAAGGAACUAGAAAGAGGCAUUAAGAAUCCUUCCUUAGAGCCUUCAGAGGGUAGCUGGCCCUGCUGACACCUUAAUUUUGGACUUCUAGCCUCUAGAAUUAUGAGUGAAUACAUUUCUGUUAUUUUAAGCCACAGAAGUGGUAAUUUGUUAUAGCAAUGCUUGGGAACAAAUACAUAUACCAAUAUGGUUCUAUUAGCUAGUAUACUCUAAUUUUAUAGUCGGUAAUAUCAAGGGAGUAACACAAGGUAUCUGCACUACAGAAGCAGAUGUCUGAUUACUAGGUUCUGUGAUGAAACUUUGUAUUUCAAAAAAUGGAUCCCCUUCAUUCUCUCCUUGUUUCUAUGUCUGCUGUCCUGAAGCCAGAUGUGUUACCAUGAUGUCUUUAUACUAAUAUACUAACACAGCAGUUCUCAAAGCACUGUUCAUGGACACUUUGAGCUCCCUGAGACUCUUCCAGGGGGAGGCCAAAUCUAUUCUCAUACUUUCCCUUUUCACUGUGUUGACAUUUGCAGUGAUAGUGCAGAAGCAACGAUAGGCAAAACUGCUGACACCUUAGGACAAAUGGCAGUACCAGCAAUUGCACUAGUAGACAUCUUAUUCUUCGUCUUCAUGACUGGCAGAAAACAAACAAACAUAAAAAGAAUUUGACUUAAGAAUGACCUUGAUGAAGCAGCAACAUGAUUUAUUAAAUCUUUAUCCUUCAGUACAAGUCUUUUUAAUAUUGUGUGUGAUGUUAUGGGGAGUACAAAUAAAGCACUUCUGUGACAUACAGAAGUACAAAAUAGAGAGUCUAUCAUCUACGUAGAACUGAAGAUGACAGAAGACACCAAAGGAGGACGGGGGCUUCCAGGAAGAGCCAGUAAGAUGUGCUGAGUAGGAAGAUGUGAAGAAAAUUGUUGAACAUGUCUGACAAUAGAAGACCUAAGGCCUAAGAAGUCCAUUUCAAUGAAUCACAAAAGAAAUCAAAGAACAGAAUUUCUCUCUUUUGAAGAGAGAAUAAUUGCUUUAUUAAGUCACAGCAGCAGAUUUCUAGACCCAGUGUCAUGUCUCCUUGUCCAAACUGUGGCCCCUUCAUGGUAGUGUGGAUCUUCUGAGAAGAGCUCUAAGUAGUUUGAAUGUAUUGUGAGAAUCAGAUUGAAUCUAGCUUCAGAAUCUGAGUUUUGCAGGUCUAGGUCACACACAAACACACAUGCGCGCGCACACACACACACACACACACACACACAUAUUUUCUUUUUUUGAGGUAGGGUCUCAUUCUCUCACCCAGGCUGGAGUGCAAUUGUGCAAUCACAGCUCACUGCAGCCUCUACCUCCCGGGCUCAAGCUAUCCUCCCACUUUAGCCCCAAGUAGCUGGGACCACAGGCAUGCACCACCACGCCUGGAUAAUUUUAUUUAUUUUUUGUAGAAACGAGGUCUCAUUAUGUUGCCCAGACUAGUCUCGAACUCUUAGGCUCAAGCGAUCCAUCUGCUUUGGCCUCCCAAAGUGCUGGGAUUACAAGCAUGAGCGACUGAGCCUGGCCAGUAACUAAUAUUUUUGAUAGAAUAAGUUGCAAAUCUGGAACAUACUUAUUUUAAAAGUAAAAAAGUCUUUUAAAUUGGCAAAAUCUACAAUUCUAGGUCUUAAAUGAAAUUUAGCUGGGCAUAAACAAAGGCUGAAUUUCAUUUUGAGUCACUGAUAAUCUAAGUUAAGGGCAAUGUCCCUUUUCUUCUGUUGUAGGAUCACCUCUACUUUGUGUUAGUCUGGGAAGUGGGGGUGCUGUGUAAGAAGUACUAACAGGUAAAAGAUGUUGCAGUAGGCUUUAGUCUUUUGACUGGUCUCCUCACCUCUAUUCUUGUUCCUUACAAUUUAUACAGAUAUUGCCACUGGAACCACUUUUUUAAAGCUAGUUGAAUCUUAUGGAUAAAGUGUUAACUUUAUAGCUUGGAUUAAAAAUGAUUUCCUGUCCAGUCCUGACCUGGUCUUAAUCUCCAGUCCUCUAUCACCACCUCCAAACACACACACACACACACACACACACACACACACACACACACAGUUUUAACAACAUGCUACUUGCUCUUUUUUUCUCUGCUUGUACUAGUCUCACUGCCUGCAGUAUUCUUGACUGUCUUCUACCUUUAUAAUCUCAAGACCCAGAUCGAAUAUCACUUUCUCUUUGAAGCUGUCCUGAACUUGCCUCUUAUUUGUGCUCUUUUCUGUGCUCCUAAAGCACCUUGUAAAUUCAUCAUUUUAUAGAAUGUACCAAUCAUGUUCUAGUAAUCCAUUACGAGACAUUGGAAUAGCGAACACCCAGAAAAAGUGGCCCCGCAGGGAUGAACUUUCCUCUUCCUGUUUACUACCUUUGCUCCUGUCACUUCCCACCUUGCUCUUUUUUCUGUGACUCCAGAGUGGUCUAUCUGGGCCUGCUGUUCUUAGGUGAACAUCUGUUCCUGGAGGAUGCACAGAAAACAGGCAUAUGUAAAUCAAGAAUUGUCAGUGUACCGGACACAUUUUGCUUAAGUGUAAGAAAAACAAGGAAUCAAUUAAGUGUGUGAAACAGAAAUCUUCCCCAAGUGUUGAUAUAUUUUUUAAAACUCAC
rnacentral:lncRNA from 10 species